CAGGACUUGUAUAUAAAUAUAUAUUGGGAGAAGAGAAGUUCACCUUUAUUGAGAAAUGUAACAAUACUCGCUCUGUCACAUUAUUAAACAAAGGACCAAAUAAGUACACACUCACUCAGCUCCAAAGAUGCAGUAAGGGAUGGCUUGAGGGCUGUCAAAAAUCCUAUUGAUGAGGGCUGUGUGUUUCCAGGUGCUGGUGCUGUGGAAGUAGCAAUGGCAGAAGCCCUGAUUAAAUAUAAGCCCAGUGUAAAGGGCAGGGCACAGCUUGGAGUCCAAGCAUUUGCUGAUGUGUUGCUCAUUAUUCCAAAGGUGAGCCAAUGGUAGCAGCAGAAGUAGGCAUAUGGGAUAACUAUUGUGUAAAGAAACAGCUUCUUCACUCCUGCACUGUGAUUGCCACCAACAUUCUCUUGGUUGAUGAGAUCAUGCAAGCUGGAAUGUUUUCUCUGAAAGGUUGAAUUGAAGCUUCCCCUCUAUCUGAAUCU
rnacentral:lncRNA from 1 species